rnacentral:rRNA from 1 species
CAAUAGCGUAUACUAAAGUUGUUGCGAUUAAAAAGCUCGUAGUUGGAUCUCAGGCAUGGGCGCACGGUCCGCCUCGCGGCGGUCACUGUGUGUUUUGUUUCCCAUCCUACGCUUCCCGGUUAUCAGCCCAUGGUGCUCUUCACUGAGCGUUUUGGGUGGCCGGAACGUUUACUUUGAAGAAAUUAGAGUGUUCAAAGCAGGCACGUUGCCUGAAUAAUGGUGCAUGGAAUAAUGGAAUAGGACCUCGGUUCUAUUUUGCUGGUUUUCGGAACACGAGGUAAUGAUUAAGAGGGACAGACGGGGGCAUCCGUAUUGCGGUGUUAGAGGUGAAAUUCUUGGAUCAUCGAAAGACGAACAACUGCGAAAGCAUUUGCCAAGCAUGUUUUCAUUAG